AUGAGUUUCUGACCUAUCAACUCGAGACGGCGGGGGUAGAGGCCCGCCGCGGUAACGACGGGUAACGGGGAAUCAGGGUUCGAUUCCGGAGAGGGAGCCCGAGAAACGGCUACCACUUCCAAGGAAGGCAGCAGGCGCGCAACUUACCCUAAUCUCGAUUCGAGGAGGUAGUGACAAGAAAUACCGAUGCGGGACCCUACGGGUGCCGCGUUCGGAAUGAGUACGAUUCGAACCACCUAACGAGGAACGAUCGGAGGGCAAGUCUGGUGCCAGCAGCCGCGGUAAUUCCAGCUCCAAUAGCGUACGUUAAAGUUGCUGCAGUUAAAAAGCUCGUAGUUGAACGUUCGGGUUCCGCGGGACGGGGCCGCCCCGCGAGGGACGGCGCCGCCCCGGGGCUCGUGAUAUCUUAUCUCGCCGCCCGUCGCGAGGCGGACGGAGGGAUGGAUGAGGUUACCUGGAAAAAAUCGGGGCGAUCUAGGCGGGCGAACCUCGCCAACGAACGAUCGGACAUGGG
rnacentral:rRNA from 1 species